GCCCUACUUACCAUAAGGACUCUCCACUGGAGCCCCAAGGGGCGCGUUCACACUGACCAUGGCCAAGUCCACCCAGCCGGAGACCCGGGGGCAUGGAGGAGCAGGGGCCCGCACACAGCAGCAGCAGAGCCACCAGGAGCCAGUCCACCAGGAAGGCGCCCCAUUUCUUUUGUCUCAAUUUUGGAUCUCACCAGCUGUUUGAGGAUUCUGAAAUCGAGGUCAUUUAUCCUGUUAGAGAGAGCUCAAAUGAGAAGCAGUGAAACAAACUCUCUCAGAAAAAUCAGUAACUCCAGCUCCACUAUUUUCUUGCUGUAUGUUUUUUGGUAAAUUAUUUCAUCUCAUUAUAGCGAUACCUAGCUCAUAGUUUGCCCCGCCUCUAAAAUAGCUAAUUGAUAUAUUCCUCCUCUUUCCCCCUAGUCUCUUUUUUCAGCUUAAUCAACCACCCUAGAGGGACCUUCAGCCCCUAUUGAUGGACAUGGGUUGUAUUAAAACGUCCUUUCUUUUGUAAAACAACAGUGAUAAUAAAUGUUAGGUUUUUUUAAUUUAAA